rnacentral:tRNA from 1 species
GUAAAGUCAGCUAAUUAAGCUCUG